CCAACCUGCCCCAUAGGCGAGGUCCUUAACCUCUUCCUCCCAUUGGCUGGGGGUCUUUAACCCCCAACCUGCCCCAUAGGUGAGGUCCCUAACCUCUUUAUCCCAUUGCCUGGGGGUCUUUAACCCCCAACUCGCCCCAUAGGCGAGGUCCUUAACUUCAAAUCCUCGAACCCGGAGCCCCGGACGGGGCUCUAACCCCACCCUAUCUAGGUGUUUAACCCCCCUCCUCCUUAACCCUUUCCCUCCCUAACUCCAAGCCUCCCAUCCGAAGGGUCCUUAACCCGUAGCCGAUUGGGGGGCAGGUCCCUAACUCUCCCUUGAACCCGCAACUCCAUUUCCUGAA